CGCUGGCGGGGUGCCUAAUACAUGCAAGUCGAGCGAAUGACGAGAAGCUUGCUUCUCUGAUUUAGCGGCGGACGGGUGAGUAACACGUGGGCAACCUGCCCUACAGAUCGGGAUAACUCAGGGAAACCUGGGCUAAUACCGGAUAAUCCUUCGAAUCACAUGUUUUGAAGUUGAAAGGCGCUUCGGCGUCACUGUAGGAUGGGCCCGCGGUGCAUUAGCUAGUUGGUGGGGUAACGGCCUACCAAGGCAACGAUGCAUAGCCGACCUGAGAGGGUGAUCGGCCACAUUGGGACUGAGACACGGUCCAAACUCCUACGGGAGG
rnacentral:rRNA from 1 species